rnacentral:rRNA from 1 species
CGCGUAGGCGGUUAUGCUAGUCAGGUGUGAAAUCCCCAGGCUUAACUUGGGAACUGCGCUUGAAACUGCAUAGCUUGAGGCCGGGAGAGGAAAGUGGAAUUCCUGGUGUAGCGGUGAAAUGCGUAGAUAUCAGGAGGAACACCGGUGGCGAAGGCGGCUUUCUGGACCGGUUCUGACGCUGAAGCGCGAAAGCGUGGGGAGCAAACG